GCGACACCCUAUUGUUAGUUGCCAUCAUUCAGUUGGGCACUCUAGCGAGACUGCCGGUAAUAAACCGGAGGAAGUGGGGAUGACGUCAAAUCAUCAUGCCCCUUAUGACCUGGGCUACACACGUGCUACAAUGGUUGGUACAACGAGUUGCGAGUCGGUGACGGCGAGCUAAUCUCUUAAAGCCAAUCUCAGUUCGGAUUGUAGGCUGCAACUCGCCUACAUGAAGUCGGAAUCGCUAGUAAUCGCGGAUCAGCACGCCGCGGUGAAUACGUUCCCGGGCCUU
rnacentral:rRNA from 1 species